UAGAAUGUGAAGGGCAUGUCUUUGGGACCAUCAAAAAGAUCCUUUUCUAUGCCGCUUAUCCUGUUUAGGGUCACAGGAAGCUGGAGUCUAUCCAAGCCAACUUCAGGCGGAAGGCAAAGAUUACACUCUUAAUUUGUUGACAUAUACGCACAGACAGCCAUUUGCACUGUCAGUUAGUGGUAACUGCAUCCAGGUGGCCUGCACGCAAGCACCCCAACAAUGGAGAGUCAGGGCCAAGACAGCUGGGAGAGUCGGAGUCUUUUGGGGACCGUUUGAUUGGCGAAUGCACACUUUCGAUCUGAGCAGAUACGAGAGAGCUGAGGAUCUGCUAGAUCGCCAGACUUUUGGAAUUCAUUGUUCGGCGCCAAUUCAGCUGUCGUCUGGUCCUUGUUGUGAACAUAUCGUGGCGGUCGUCUCCUGAAGAUGACAUCAUUGCACAUCCUGCUGCAAGCGGCAUGGCUGAUUACGCCGGCUCACCUCGUGAUGAGCGCCCUUCCUGUGUUGCACCGAAGAAAGAUGAGGGACCACCUUUUUCCCUGCAAGGCAAUCAAGUUGACAGCCAUCUUGGCGACUCCGAACUGCAAAGCUUGUUUAGAUAUUUUUCACCAUUUCAUUUCAUUUAUUCAUUUAUUUAUUGUGUCACAACAAAGGCUGAAGUUAAGCUCUUUAUUCCAGAGGAGGCACAGUUGGCAGUAACUGGUGGUUGUCAUCAUCACAUUUCAAGAUCUGCAAUCAUUUUAUUUUAUUCUCUAUAAUGGAUCCCCUUGGUCUGUCCUAUAUUUUAGUUUUUGACAGUAAUUUUCCCCUCAUGGGCUUAAUAUUACACCUCGCAUUUGCUUUAAUUUUUUCCCCCUCAUUAUCGGACAUAGUUUAAUAUUGUUACAUGAAUGUAUUGUAGGAAUCAAAUAGCACUUUUCACCCAAAAAACAUAACUUUGUUUUUGAAUAAAUGAAUGGUUAAAUGUAAAAAAAUCAAGUCCAGGUUCUGAAUGAAGACAAUGCAAUUGUUUUAAGUCAGUUUACUGACAUAUUUUGUGACAGAGAAACCUAAGUUUCCCUUUAGCCA